UGCGUAGGCAGCAAGCGUUGUUCGGAGUUACUGGGCGUAAAGGGUGCGUAGGCGGCUUCUUAAGUCUGGUGUGAAAUCUCCCGGCUCAACUGGGAGGGUGCGCCGGAUACUGAGGGGCUAGAGUGUGGGAGAGGAAAGUGGAAUUCCUGGUGUAGCGGUGAAAUGCGUUGAUCUACAGAGGAACACCAAAAAAGGCGAAGGCAGUCAACUAUUCUGUUCCUGACAUUGAGGCAUGAAAGCGUGGGGAGCAAACCGG
rnacentral:rRNA from 1 species